AUGAGAACACCACCACCUUUUCCAAGCUGAGCCAAGGAGUCUCCAGCCACCUUGCUUUCUUCUGGUUUAGAACCUGUUGAUAGAUUCACAUUAAGGAGAAAGUUAGAACAUGAAUCUGAAAAAAGGAACAGGUAAAAUAACUACUUUAUGAUUGUUAAAGAAGAGGCAGCAGAUCAUAUUGGUAAAAAGCACAGUUGAGAGAAAACCUAAGAGCAUAAGCCAACUAACAAAAAUGCUAAAAAGACUUCAUGAUCAUUUCCAUCCUGUCUUGUUUUAAUUUGGAGAGAAAAGAAAAGAAAGUGAAGGAAAACAAAAAGAAGUGGUGUCUUUGAGCUUUUUAAUAAAAGAGAAAAGAAAAGAAAACUAAAGAAAGUGGUGUCUAUAAGUUUUAGGAGAAAGUUAGUUCUUUUUUAUUCAAAAAUUUUCUUCUCACUUUUGGGAAGAAAGCUAGAGAAAAGAAAGUAAAACUUUCUCUUCUCUUCCCUUCCUCUUCUUUAACUUUCUUUUCUUCUCUUUUUACAACUAAAAAACUCCCAGACAGGUUAGUAGGAAAGACGACUAACGUAAAGGGAAAAGGUAAACAGGAUGAAAGAGGCAAACUAAAAAAAAGAAAAGUUCCCUUUCUUCUCCACGUGUUUGGUCAUGCAUGAAAAAGAUGUACCGUUUACUUUCACAGUUGUUUCUUCAAACAAAGAAGGAUGAAGAUAAAAGGUACGGAGGAAGGAAUGAAAUCCCUAAAAAGGAAAUGAUCAUAUUUUUCUCCUUGUGAUUAGUUAAGAGGAAAGAAAGGAGGGGAAGAGCCGAAGAGGUAUCAUUCUAAGGUAAAAUGGUUAAGGAAAAAAAAGGAAGAAGGCACUCAUUAUUUGAGGGUAAAAUGGUCAAGGAAAACGGCAUCCUCCUUCCUUUACCCUUUACUUCCACUUUUUCCUUUUCCCUCACCUUUCCCUCUCCUUCCAAGCAAAGGAAAGACUAUCCAGUGAAUCUUCUGUUCUCAUCUCUCAUAUGCAUCUAAUUUAGAAGAUGCCGGAUUUCACCAAUGGGGUUGUUAACGAGUAUAAGUUGCUAAAGUAUAAAUUCACUUUCAUGGAAGUCAUUUCAUAGCAUUGCAAAUAUAAACAAGGGAGAAAAGAUGCAACCUCAGACCAGAGUUGCCAGAUAUUCUCAGACUUAGCGAACUGUGUAUUGGUACUUGCGUACCCAAAUAGGGCACUCUCACGUACCAAUAUUCUAAAUUAGUGUACCCAAAAAAUUCUUUAUUGUUUAACCUAUAAUUGCAUAAAUAUCAAUAUUAUAACUUAGUAUUGGAUGUUCAAAUAUUACACUUGUACUAAAUAUUUUAUAAAAUAAUUAACUUGUUAAUUUAACUAAAAAUCUUCUAUAAAACUAAAGUUUAUUACAUUUAGAUUCUAAGAGUUUGAUGAGUGCAUAAUAUUCUAUGAUUAUGAUUCUUUUAUGUUUAGUUUUAUUGCAUGUUUCAUAUAUAUAUGAGCUUAUUAAGGUGUUUAAUGAUUUCAGGAAGAAUUGAAGCUGGAGCGAGGAAAAAAGAAAAAUUGCAUGGUUUUUAGCACUAAGUUGGAUGCAUGGUCUUGACUUGGGACUUGGAUUUUAUUGUAGUUAUUCUUUAGAUUUCCAGAACAUCUUGAAUCGUCCCAAACAGAGUUCAUAUGAAAAAGUUAUGACCUUUUUACCAAACGGACAUUGAACCUCAAAGUUUGGAGUUGCAAUUUACAUAGCAGUCACUUGGAGCCCAAUUUCAACCUUGAUUCAGUCAGAAUCUGUCAAUUCUCAAAGAAUAAAAGUUGUAGAUCUCGUCAACAACUUCGAUUUGAUAGGUAGCAGGCCCCAUAACUCCUCCCGGAUCAAAAGUUAUGGUUGUUUUAUCAAAGAACAUCGCAGCAAGAAAUGGAAAUUCGCCCCAGCGAAUUUGAGUGGAAAAUUUUGGAAAUCUUAGAUUUUUGAAAAGUUUCUAAAAGCAUAUUUUGGCAAACUUCUACAUGGA
rnacentral:lncRNA from 1 species